GGGGAAUAUUGGACAAUGGGCGCAAGCCUGAUCCAGCAAUGCCGCGUGAGUGAUGAAGGCCUUAGGGUUGUAAAGCUCUUUCGACGGGAGCGAUGAUGACGGUACCCGUAGAAGAAGCCCCGGCUAACUUCGUGCCAGCAGCCGCGGUAAUACGAAGGGGGCUAGCGUUGUUCGGAAUUACUGGGCGUAAAGGGCGCGUAGGCGGCCGAUCAAGUCAGGCGUGAAAGCCCCGGGCUCAACCUGGGAAUUGCGUUUGGGACUGGUUGGCUUGAGUUCGGGAGAGGAGAGUGGAAUUCCCAGUGUAGAGGUGAAAUUCGUAGAUAUUGGGAAGAACACCGGUGGCGAAGGCGGCUCUCUGGACCGAUACUGACGCUGAGGCGCGAAAGCGUGGGGAGCAAA
rnacentral:rRNA from 1 species